GAGGGGAGUGGGGUUUUUGUGGAUACAGGAAACGUGUUAAAAACUCCGGUGAGUUAUUUUUUAAGCACACUGUUGUGGAUUUUAAACGCUUACCUCAGAAAAAAACAGAUGCUGUGAUGUUCAUUGAUUGCGCACGCGGGGCUGCUAGCUUCUGAGCUAUCUGUGCACAGGUGCUGUGGAGCACUUCAUGAGGCAGGUGAGCAGAUGUGAGAACAAGUUGAUCCACAGGACUUUUGAUAUUUGCCCAAAGCUUAUUUAAUUGGCACUUUUUUGCUCUGCAGCUGUAAAGAUAAAACACUCCAGGGGCUGCUGUGUUUGUUUUGGGAUGGUAAAUAUCAGAAACGGGCUGCAUAUGGUGAAUCACGAGCCCAGUCAUCUUUAUCUGCUCAGUCGGUAAGGCCAAGUUAGCUAACAGCUAACGAGCCUGCUCAGUCUGCUGUAAAUCUAGGGAUAGCGUUUUGAUUACUGUUAAUUGCCCUGGGUAGCCAAAAGACUUUCUUAGAAGAAGUAUGUAUCUCAAGUGCUUUGCAGUGUUUACAGGUGUUGUUAUGCUGGGAUAAAUGAUUUUGCCCAUUUUUUUUGUUUUUGCUGACAGUGCUGGUUAAUGUUUAAAUAAUAAUCACAUCUUUUUCACCCUCUAGUAAGAUUUUUAUUUUUAAUUUUUUGGUAUAUGCUGCAUUUAAAGUAGAAAUGGCAAAAGCCCACAAGGCCAAAUAAAUAUCUAAAAUACAGUUGAAUUCACAACUGUAAAUGCUUUUUUUCUGUUGGUGUCUAAGCAGUAGGAAAACAAAGUGUUUUUUUAAUUCAAAUAUUUUAAAUGUCAGCAUUUUGGAUCCAUUUAAACAGAUUAUAUUGCAGUACAUCAAAUAUUUGGAUUAGGUUAAUUAACUGGGCACUCAUAAAAAUACUGAAAUAGAGGCUACAGCAAGUAAUAUGGUUAGCGAGACUUGCUAUGAUAUAUGGUUUGGAGAUAGUGAUGCUGACAAAAAGACAGCAGGCAGUGCUGGAGGUGGAAGAGGUGAAGAUGCUAAGAUUUUCA
ensembl:lncRNA